AGUGGGAUAGCUGGGUCAAACAGUGGUUCUAUUUCAAGUUUUCUGAGGAAUCUCCAUAUUGCUUUCCAUAAUGGUUGCACCAAUUUGCAGUCCCACCAGCAAU
rnacentral:pre_miRNA from 1 species